ACGAACGCUGGCGGCGUGCUUAACACAUGCAAGUCGCACGGAAAGGCCCUGCUUUUGUGGGGUGCUCGCGUGGCGAACGGGUGAGUAACACGUGAGUAACCUGCCCUUGACUUUGGGAUAACUUCAGGAAACUGGGGCUAAUACCGGAUAGGAGCUCCUGCUGCAUGGUGGGGGUUGGAAAGUUUCGGCGGUUGGGGAUGGACUCGCGGCUUAUCAGCUUGUUGGUGGGGUAGUGGCUUACCAAGGCUUUGACGGGUAGCCGGCCUGAGAGGGUGACCGGCCACAUUGGGACUGAGAUACGGCCCAGACUCCUACGGGAGGCAGCAGUGGGGAAUAUUGCACAAUGGGCGGAAGCCUGAUGCGGCAACGCCGCGUGCGGGAUGACGGCCUUCGGGUUGUAAACCGCUUUCGCCUGUGACGAAGCGUGAGUGACGGUAAUGGGUAAAGAAGCACCGGCUAACUACGUG
rnacentral:rRNA from 1 species